rnacentral:rRNA from 1 species
UUUUGGACAAUGGGGGCAACCCUGAUCCAGCCAUGCCGCGUGAGUGAAGAAGGCCUUCGGGUUGUAAAGCUCUUUCGGACGGAACGAAACGGUUGGCGUAAAUAACGCCGACUAAUGACGGUACCGUAAGAAGAAGCACCGGCUAACUACGUGCCAGCAGCCGCGGUAAUACGUAGGGUGCGAGCGUUAAUCGGAAUUACUGGGCGUAAAGCGUGCGCAGGCGGUUCGCCAAGUCAGGUGUGAAAUCCCCGGGCUUAACCUGGGAAUUGCGCUUGAAACUAGCGGGCUUGAGUGCGGCAGAGGGGGGUGGAAUUCCACGUGUAGCAGUGAAAUGCGUAGAGAUGUGGAGGAACACCGAUGGCGAAGGCAGCCCCCUGGGUCGACACUGACGCUCAUGCACGAAAGCGUGGGGAGCAAACAGG